rnacentral:rRNA from 1 species
GAGUUUGAUCAUGGCUCAGAUUGAACGCUGGCGGCAUGCCUUACACAUGCAAGUCGAACGGUAACGGGCCUUCGGGUGCCGACGAGUGGCGAACGGGUGAGUAAUGUAUCGGAACGUACCUUUCAGUGGGGAUAACGUAGCGAAAGUUACGCUAAUACCGCAUAUUCUGUGAGCAGGAAAGCAGGGGAUCGCAAGACCUUGCGCUGAUUGAGCGGCCGAUAUCAGAUUAGCUAGUUGGUGAGGUAAAGGCUCACCAAGGCGACGAUCUGUAGCGGGGUCUGAGAGGAUGAUCCGCCACACUGGAACUGAGACACGGUCCAGACUCCUACGGGAGGCAGCAGUGGGGAAUUCUGGACAAUGGGGCAACCCUGAUCCAGCCAUGCCGCGUGAGUGAAGAAGGCCUUCGGGUUGUAAAGCUCUUUCGGCCGGGAAGAAAUCGUAUGGGUUAAUACCCUGUGCGGAUGACGGUACCGGCAUAAGAAGCACCGGCUAACUACGUG